UUAUGAUGUGCAUCAGGGGACCUUACCCUUGUUUGCCUAAAGCAAGUUGCUGUUUUCCUUUUUUCUGUGCUAAAGGAGGGAGUUUGAAAGCACUCUGCAUUGGCCUGACCCUCCCCUCCAUAGAAAUCAAUGGGACAUUUUACCCUUGGCUUCAAAAAGCGCAAAGUGAGGUCAGCACUGGGUGCUUUUGAAAAUUCCACCCCGAGAGAGUUUGCAUCAUUUGCCAGUCCGUCUCCAGUCUGCUGGAGUAGGGUCUAAUUCCUGUCAGGGGGAAGGCUAAAAUCAACAAUGACGAUAAAAACAAACGCCAAUAAGCACAUUUUCUUACAAUGUAAAUACAUAGAAAAAGGGAAAUCAUUAAAAAGCCAAAGUCAACGAAGAGUCGCUUGGCUACAGGGAAGCAGAAAUACCCCAAUUGUUGCAUUGCAUUGUCCCACUGCCUUCGCUGAGUUUUGUGGGGAAGGGGGGGAGAGAUGAUGUGGAUGGCCCUAGUUACACUACAGCUUUUCCAAACCAAUCUUGACAAUGCUACACUUGAAGAUUGGUCAAAACAGGCUUUUUUAAUAGUUGUUUAAAACUGUUCUUGAGCCUAGGCUGGUAAUGCAUAAGUAAGCAGGCCAAUUUGCAUUCUCUAGUUAUUGUGUGCUGAGCAUCUCAUUUUAAACCUCUGUUGUCCUGCUCGGGCUCUGAAACCUGGCAUGGUGGGUGCGUCUCAUGCCCUGAGCUUCAGCCUAAGUGGGAAUGCCUGCACUGCUAUUUUUAGAGCCAAAGCAUGAGCCCCAGGAGCCUGAGUCUGAGACUCUACCAUGUUUUGGUUUGGUUCAGGAUUUUUCAGUGUAGAUGAACCCAUUAAUACCCAGCUUCACAAUACAGUGUAGACGUACCCUUGAUGUCUUCAUAAACUCCUGUUUUUAAAUUUAACUUCCUUGAGCACACUCACUGUGGAUCCCAUAGUAAACAGUGUUUAUUCUCCCUCCCAUUAGUUUUAUCACUGAGGAAAAACAGGUUUGCCUUUCUGCUGGUGGCUCUGAUUGCAGCUCAACAUCCAUCAGAAAGGACAGCUGUAAUUUGAUCAGGUGUCUUGUCAAACUCUAAGAUCUCAACGUAUUUUCUAACUUUGGCAAGACUUUUAUGAAGCAAAGUCAGUCCCUGCAAGAAUUCUGUCCCCUGCAUCAAGGGUUUGCCCCAGUUUCAGUCUUUGGUGGCUAGCGUUCAGUAUAGCUGCACCAGUGCAGUCCUCUAGUACAGAAAAUGAAAGAUGAAACUUGGAUCAGUGCAGCUUAUUCGUGCUUGAAACAUGGGUGAAUUCCUCCGGUGCAAAUCACAGCUUUCCUUGCUUUGGGUUUGCCUUUGUGCAGCUGCAGCAGUGACUGGCUGCUAGCAGCUGAAAUUAGGACAUGUCCCAAUGUAAAAUCGAGGCUUUUGUCUUGUGGGGCAGAAAUGGACGAGCUACCAAAAAGUGCUGUCUAGGAACAUGGUUUGCAGUACUGCCUCAGACCAUUGGGCCAUCCCGUCCAGAAUCCUCAUGCUUCAGAAGAAGACAGGGCAUGUCCUGACUCUUAAUGGCAUUACAGGUUGGGAUACUGGAUGCUUGUGUACAGAUAUGAAACAACUAUCAUCUGUGUUCCAAGGACAGUACUAAACUACAGGCAGCUGGCUACAAAUGGCUUAACAUUCAGAAGAGCUAAGUACCCACAAAUCGCGUGGAAGUCAAGUGGAGCUAUAGUAUAGUUGAGUGGAGAGGGUCCUGGACUGGGAUGUGGGAGACCUGGGCUCUGCCACUGCCCUGCUGGGAGAUCUUGGAUAGAAUAAUGCCUCUCACAGCUUCUCUGCAGAUCAGUCGACUUGAAUUUCUCUAGGGAAAGGUAAAGUGAGUUUUAUUCCUCAAUGUUUGCUUAUCUAUUUCUGUCCUCUCCCCUCCCACAGUUGGGCUGUUUACUAGUCUCCCUUGUUCUAUCUAUAUUUUAAGCUCUUUGAGACAGAAAAUAUGUUAUUAGGUAUUUUCUGAGAUACCUAAUAGAUGUGGGAUGCUUGAAAAAUAACUAUGUUCCCUGACUGGGUUGUCACUUUAGAACUAAACAUAUAUAUCCUACAGCCAAUUCCCAUCCACUGGGAGAGGAAAUUGUGAAAAACAAUAUCAAAGGACACUCAUUUUUUAUUUUAUUUUGGUCAGCAUGCGCCAAAAAUAUCCUUAAGUUAAAUAUAAAUUUGAUAAACAGUCACAACUCUAGUCAGUUUAUUUUAAGGACGCAUGACUGAAUGUUCUAACAGGUCACUUGGAAGGGGAGAGGAAGGAAGGAAGAAGUUGAUGGUCUUCUAUGGCCAUUUUGAACUGCUGACUUUUGUUUUGAUGUAUGAUUAUUGUUUGGCGCCUAGAGCACUAGAUAGAGGCUUUUAUAACUAAGCAUAAAUACAAACAUGUUAACUGUAAGAUUUCAAGGACCACACAGAGGGAAGAGGUGGACAGGUGGACUUAGAAGCUUCUUACCAACCAAGACAUGAGCGGAGGGUUAUAUGAUGACAUGAGAUACUAUGGACAUAAUCAAUGGAAGCAGAGGAUUCACACAGCACGAAGAUCAGGACUGGGCCGGCAAGUAAAGAAGGAAUUGAAAGUCAUAUCUGGGUUCAAGCUGUGGAAUUGUGCCUAGAGGAAGGAUGGUUUUGUGAUGCUUGCGGUCUCCGGAGAUCUGGUUCAAUUCCAAGCUCUGACACAGACAUCUUGUGUGACUUUGGGAGCCUGAACUGGAUGUGAUUUGGCUGGAGGACUGAGCCACAGAAGUCCUGGUGAGAGGCAGAUGGACAUUAGGAGGCACGAGAGAUGAGAACCCCUAGCAGCGUCUCACCCUGACAUAAGGGGGUGCUAUGGAUGAUCCCUUUGUGUUUUCUCUGAUGCUGUGCCUCAUGCAUGGAAAACCCUCCCUAAUCUGAAAGGUACUACUACCUUAUUCCCCUCAAGAUCCACUGCCUCUGUGAUGGCUACAAGAAAUCACCAAGCGGUUGGCAAGAUUGAACCACAGUUGGAGAUAAUUGAUCUUCAGUAUUGCCAAGUCUAGUGGCUUAUUGGUGUUGUUUCUUGAUGCCCCAGCUCCUCGAGUCAUAGCCAGUUAUCUCAUCAUAGAAGGCAAUCAGGUUGGUCAGACAUGAUUUGCCCUUGGAGAAUCCAUGUUGGAGAAUCCUGUUCCUGAUCACCUUCCUCUCCUCCAAGUGCUUCAAAAUGGAUUCCUUGAGGAGCUGCUCCAUGAUUUUCCAGGAACUGAGAGAUGAGAAUUUGACCCACAGAUACAGACAGACAUCAUCUUCCUUUCCAAACGCAAACAGAUGGACAUCAUACCAAAAGGACUGAAAAUUCAUUAAAAAUCCAUUUAAAAAAUCCAUGUAAA